rnacentral:tRNA from 1 species
AAACCUCACCACCAACACCCAAAGCUGGAAUUCUACUUAAACUAUUCCUUG